GUGCAGAGAAGAAGGUGUCAGUAUUGUGAUGAUCUGGUCAUGAGAAAUCACCAAGAAGCGUGUCCCCCAGCUGUCAGCCAUGUCCUGCUGCUCCUCUGCCGCUUUUCUGCACAAAGCUGGAACUUGUCACAUCCCUCCUGGCCCAGAGGAAGGAAUGUAAAGAAUGCAUUUGUCUCAGCUAUAAUUGCUACAAGAAGCUGAAUGAUCAGACAGACCAUGCUGCAAAGUUGGAGGUUGGAUCUGAAACCUUUGGAGGAAUGUUAGAACUGAUAUUCUGCUUCCAGCCUUAAUCAACACCCUCAAAGAUUCAGCAGAUACUACAAAACUAGGGUUUGUAUCUGCAUCUUUCAGGAGCCUGUCCCAGUUCUGGCCUCUAUGCUGUGAGCAUCCUUAAAAGAUACAUCAAACAGCACAACAUGAGUUCAAAGAACUUUGCUUGUAACUGCAAUGAAUCUGAAAUGUACUGAUGAAAGAUUUAUUAAUGUCAUGCAAGGUAGAGUGUCCUCCUGUUAGCAGAGACCUUCUGAAUCGCUGAGUGAACAGGUCAUCAAAGGGAAAUCAGCGCGGUAAUUGGAGCAGCAUUCUUGAGCCUAAUUGGACAGAGGUUAAGUCUGUGUCUGAGCAGAGUGUUGGGUAAUGACAAGGACACAAAUAAAGCAGCAGUAAUGGGGGCCUUUCUGCUGUUGCAGGGAACAGGGAGGUGUGGCUCAGGCUGAGGUUGGUACCUCCCUGGAAUCUUCAUCUGCAGCUGAAAUUUCCACUGGACUCCAGCCAAGAUGUGCAGACAAAGCAAUUUUCCCUGGGGAGAGACAAACCUUGUAUUUUUGUGCUUUUGGAGAUGCUGGGAUAGAAACAGUGAAAAUUAUGACUCAGAAAAUGUGCUGGGAUACUUUUCUAGUGUGCAGAAACACACAGCUAAACCUAAAGCAUUCUGAAGGCCUUGAUCAUGCUGUCCCUUCAGAUAUUAGAAGAUUUUGGGGGUUGAAAGGGUGGGGAUACUCAAUAAAAUAA